GGACCUGACAGCUAUCGGAUUGAUACUAAGCCAUGCGAGUCAUUGUAGCAAUACAAGGCAUACGGCUCAGUAACGCGUAGUCAACCUAACCUAUGGACGGGAAUAACCUCGGGAAACUGAGAAUAAUGCCCGAUAGAACAUUAUGCCUGGAAUGGUUUAUGUUCCAAAUGAUUUAUCGCCGUAGGAUGGGACUGCGGCCUAUCAGUUUGUUGGUGAGGUAAUGGCCCACCAAGACUAUUACAGGUACGGGCUCUGAGAGGAGUAGCCCGGAGAUGGGUACUGAGACACGGACCCAGGCCCUAUGGGGCGCAGCAGGCGAGAAAACUUUGCAAUGUGCGAAAGCACGACAAGGUUAAUCCGAGUGGUUUCUGCUAAAGAAACCUUUUGUCAGUCCUAGAAACACUGAUGAAUAAGGGGUGGACAAGUUCUGGUGU
rnacentral:rRNA from 1 species